rnacentral:rRNA from 1 species
GACGAACGCUGGCGGCGUGCUUAACACAUGCAAGUCGAACGGAAAGGCCAUGCUUUUGCGGGGCGCUCGAGUGGCGAACGGGUGAGUAACACGCGAGUAACCUGCCCUUGACUGUGGGAUAUCACUAGGAAACUGGGGAGAAUAUAGCGUAGGAGCUCCUGAUGCACGGGGGGGGAUGGAAAGUGUCGGCGGUUUGGGCUGGAUUAGCGGCUUAUGAGCUUGUUGGUGGGGUAGUGGCUUACAAAGGCUUUGAAGGGUAGCCGGCCUUGGAGGGUGGCCGGCCACCUUGCUCCUGAGGUAGGCCCCAGACUCCUACGGGAGGCAGCAGUGGGGAAUAUUGCGCAGUGGGCGCGAGCGUGAUGCAGCGGCGCUGCGUUCGGGAUGACGGCCUUCUGGUUGUAAACCGCUUUCGCCUGUGCCGAGGCGUGAGUGACGGUAAUGGGUAAGGAAGCACCGGCUAACUACGUG